rnacentral:miRNA from 1 species
AGAACUGUGGGUGGACAUCAGU